rnacentral:rRNA from 1 species
UAGCGUUGCUCGGAAGCACUGGGCGUAAAGGGUGCGUAGGCGGGUCUUUAAGUGAGGGGUGAAAUCCUGGAGCUCAACUCCAGAACUGCCUUUGAUACUGAAGAUCUUGAGUUCGGGAGAGGUGAGUGGAACUGCGAGUGUAGAGGUGAAAUUCGUAGAUAUUCGCAAGAACACCAGUGGCGAAGGCGGCUCACUGGCCCGAUACUGACGCUGAUGCACGAAAGCGUGGGGAGCAAACAGG